rnacentral:rRNA from 1 species
AACGUAGGUACCGAGCGUUAUCCGGAUUUACUGGGCGUAAAGCGCGUUCAGGCGGUUUGGCAAGUCGGGCAUGAAAUCUCUCGGCUCAACCGGGAGAGGUUGUCCGAUACUGCUGGACUUGAGGGCAGUAGAGGGUGGUGGAAUUCCGGGUGUAGUGGUGAAAUGCGUAGAUAUCCGGAGGAACACCAGUGGCGAAAGCGGCCACCUGGACUGUACCUGACGCUAAGACGCGAAAGCUAGGGGAGCGAACGGG